rnacentral:tRNA from 2 species
CGGGAUGUAGCUCAGCCCGGUAGAGUACGCGUCUGGGGGGCGUGUGGUCGCAAGUUCAAAUCUUGUCAUCCCGA